AGUGAACGCUGGCGGUAGGCCUAACACAUGCAAGUCGAACGGCAGCACAGUAAGAGCUUGCUCUUACGGGUGGCGGGUGGCGGACGGGUGAGGAAUACAUCGGAAUCUACUUUUUCGUGGGGGAUAACGUAGGGAAACUUACGCUAAUACCGCAUACGACCUACGGGUGAAAGCAGGGGAUCUUCGGACCUUGCGCGAUUGAUUGAGCCGAUGUCGGAUUAGCUAGUUGGCGGGGUAAAGGCCCACCAAGGCGACGAUCCGUAGCUGGUCUGAGAGGAUGAUCAGCCACACUGGAACUGAGACACGGUCCAGACUCCUACGGGAGGCAGCAGUGGGGAAUAUUGGACAAUGGGCGCAAGCCUGAUCCAGCCAUACCGCGUGGGUGAAGAAGGCCUUCGGGUUGUAAAGCCCUUUUGUUGGGAAAGAAAAGCAGCAGGUUAAUACCCCGCUGUUCUGACGGUACCCAAAGAAUAAGCACCGGCUAACUUCGUG
rnacentral:rRNA from 1 species